AAAAUUUAUUUUACUUUUUUCCUAAGAAAAACUUUGAAGCUCUACAUUUUCAUCAAUUCUUUCUCACCGUUUCUAAACCCUCGAUUGGUAAAAUCUAACAAACAAACAACAGAAAAGAAGUGGGAAUUAUAAUGAUUCAGUUGAAGAUGGAGACAUUCUUCAAAUUCAUGGUGUUCUCUUUCUUUCUUCUAUGUUCGUUAUCUCUCUGCAAUGCGAAUGCUUCAAGAUCUUCUUCUUCUUCUUCAUCUACCACAAGGCACACCAACAAUUGGGCUGUCUUGGUCUGCACUUCUCGCUUCUGGUUUAAUUAUCGGCAUAUGGCCAAUACCUUAUCUUUAUACAGGACAGUAAAAAGGCUAGGAAUACCCGAUGAGAGGAUAAUUCUUAUGUUGGCUGAUGAUAUGGCUUGCAAUGCCCGGAACAAAUACCCUGCCCAAGUCUUCAACAAUGAGAACCACAGACUUAACUUGUAUGGAGAUAAUGUUGAGGUAGAUUAUCGAGGUUAUGAAGUGACAGUUGAAAACUUUUUGCGAGUUUUAACAGGGCGUCAUAAAACUGCAGUUCCAAGGUCAAAACGGCUUCUAAGUGAUGAAGGAAGCCACAUCCUUCUAUACAUGACAGGACAUGGGGGAGAUGAAUUUUUAAAAUUUCAGGACUCAGAGGAGCUUCAAAGUCACGAUUUAGCCGAUGCAGUGAAACAAAUGAAGGAAAAGCGUAGAUUCAAGGAGCUGUUGAUAAUGGUUGACACUUGCCAAGCUGCUACACUCUUUUCUCAGCUUCAAUCUCCUGGUGUUUUGACUAUUGGAAGUAGCAUGAAAGGAGAAAACUCUUACUCACAUCACUUGGACUCUGAUGUUGGUGUCUCUGUUGUGGAUCGCUUCACAUUUUAUACCCUUGCUUUCUUUGAAAGGCUAAAUAUAUACGAUAAUGCUCCAUUGAGCAGUCUUUUCAGCUCAUAUAAUCCAAGUAUGUUGAUGUCAACAGCAUACUAUCGAACAGAUCUAUACAAACGACAAUUGCAGGAGGUUCCUGUCACAAACUUCUUUGGUUCAGUCAUGGAAACUAUUCACACUGAUUCAUCUUAUAGAGCCCUCUCAGGCAGAGAGUCCCACAAGGAUAAAAUCAAAAUGCCGUUUGAUCCAUCAGCCAGCCUGCAUGACCAGACAGCAUCUUUAAAUUCAAAUGGCCAGAAAGAAAUUAAUGACUCAAACAAAAAGGAUCAAGAGGUUGCUUGUCCUUUUACACGCAUGAUGGCUACAUUUCAUGACAAGAUGGAAAAAAUUGAAGAUGUUGACACCUUGGUCAACUAUGGAUUUGUAUUAAUGCUACCAUUGGUGGCAGUUUCCACUUGGCUAUCAUGGUGAAGAUGAAAUGUAGUCUGCUUAUUUGUUUUACAUACUGGCUUCUCCAUUGAUGAGUUUCAAACAUCUUGAUGCACGACCUUUGUGUUAUUCUUAUGUAGAACUUUAUCGGUCCUUUUAAAAAUUUCCAGGAACUAAACAACCUCUGAAAGGCACGGGUUACGAGCAAAUUUAUUUAAUCAGAGAAAACUACCAAUCAGUGAGCGUGGGUCAUCAUGGUAGCUGUUGAAAGUCUUGACGGGACAGAGAACUGAAUCAGUGAUGCACAUUACCCUCAAUCUGCGCUUGCUGAGCAUUUCAAGAAAUGUCUGGGAUCCUACCUAGCAGUCAUUAAUAGCUUCAUUUUUUUUUUUUUUUUAAUCUUCUCAUUUUACACAGCAUUAGAACUUCAGUUUAUGCCUCUCUCUCUGUCACUGGACAUCCUUCACUAACAUAAUGUGUUGUUUCAACAGUUUGAUUGGUUCUUGCAGAUACUGGGAUCUCAAAAUUCGUAAAUGGUUGAUUUAUUUGGUUGUUGAAAUCACAACAGAGAAAAUUUUGACAUUAGAAGAAAAAAAGAAAGUUGGUUUCUUAGUUGUGAUGCUUA